UGAUGGCCUUCUCUUAAUUUUUGACAAGUGAUGGCUUGAUUGGAGCUAACUUUACACAGCUUCAAGUGUGUAAUUUAAUUGUGAUACAUUUCCAUAUCCUCAAGUCCGCCGAAAACAAUGUCAGAGGCCAGCCUAUUUUCUGGUUCUUUAACGAAGGGGGAGUUGCAAGACCAGGGAAAGGCACAAAGAGGAAAAAGUGAAAGCUCUCAGCAGAUGAUGCUGAAGUCUGCAGCUGCAGAAGCAGUGCUGCACUUUAACCAGCCUCACACAUCCAGGUAAUAGCAAGGCAAGACAAGGUGGCCACGCACAUGGCAGGUCUGAGGAAGGCAGCAGGUGACAGUGACACUGAUGGAUACCUGAGGCUGCAUAUAUUAGCUGAGCCCAGCUUUGAAGAUGGUUUCUUCUGUCGCUGUUGUUGUUGAGAUGACUGAGCAAGGGAAAUGGAAACAGUGAAAAAAGCCACGGGAGACAAGAAUAAUGCAGUCUUAUUUAGUGAGUGCUGAAUGUAGAGUCUGUUAUUUACCCUCUAUCAUAUUAAACUGAACUGAAUGUUUGCUUGACAUCUACCUUUGUGUACCUGGCCUUAUUCUAAUGGCAGAAGGCAAAUGGAAGAAGAAGAAGAAAAAAAAAAAAAAAAAAGAUCUGGAAAUUAGUGGUGGAAGAACGGUGACUUACAAACUGAUUGGACCUAGAUCAUGGUGUUUGUCCCCAUCUGGCUCUUCUUUGAAAACUGUUAGAUUUUUUUUCAGUGAAAGUGUGUUUCUAUGAGAAUAUGAAGUUUGGCAUUGGCUCUGAUCAUUUUCCAAAGGCUGAUGUAAAUGCUUAUCAACCCUUUUUAUUAAGCACAUGGAGGGAUGCUGCUCUAACUGUGCACGGACCAGAAUCUAGCUACCUCCACGCCAGCAGUCACAAGAGCUGACGAAUGCAGUCUUACCAGCACUGUGAACACCGAGCCUGUAGGUCUGCUUGGACUCAAAAUGCACUCUCUUUCUCCUCGCCUGGCUUCUGUGGCUUUCUCCACCGUCUACCCAAAGUCUGCUGGAGGACCCAAAAAUCAUUUCUUUGUGAAAUAUAGGUUUGUAGGUUGUGUUAAUCUAUUCUGCCAUCAAUGCCUACUUCAAUGCUACUUCAUCCAGAAAUUGUGUUUACCUAUAAAGUCGAUGUAAUGAAGCACCAUGUGCCAAGCCA